rnacentral:lncRNA from 1 species
UGAACAGGAAGAUGCCUCCCUCUAGGUGUUGUCUCAGCAUGCACCUCUUCAGAGACUCCUUACUUACACAUCAGCUUUAGUCUGGACGUGGUGACUUUCCAGUGCUGUUUAGCAGAUUCACGGGCCUCAGCCCACAGCGUGAAAGGCGGUCUCCAAGUCAGCUGCUGUGCUGCAAUAGAUCCAGUACUGGACUCGUUCAUGCCCACAUUGACUCUCUGCCUUCUCCAAAAGUAGUACUUCCUAGAAUGACCUGGCAGCAUGAGAAGUAGUGGCUUGCUGCGGCUAUCGCAGCGGCAACCCCAGAAGGACCAGAUGACUGAUACCUGAUAUCUGGUGAGUGGGCUAGAGGUCAGAAGGAAAAAGCUGGACUACCAUUUGUGAGCAUGGUUUAGACAAAGCUAACAGCUCGUGAAGCGAGCAUCAGCCUGAAAGAGGG